GACGAACGUUGGCGGCGUGCUUAACACAUGCAAGUCGAACGGAAAGGCCCUGCUUUUGUGGGGUGCUCGAGUGGCGAACGGGUGAGUAACACGUGAGUAACCUGCCCUUGACUUUGGGAUAACUUCAGGAAACUGGGGCUAAUACCGGAUAGGAGCUCCUGCUGCAUGGUGGGGGUUGGAAAGUUUCGGCGGUUGGGGAUGGACUCGCGGCUUAUCAGCUUGUUGGUGGGGUAGUGGCUUACCAAGGCUUUGACGGGUAGCCGGCCUGAGAGGGUGACCGGCCACAUUGGGACUGAGAUACGGCCCAGACUCCUACGGGAGGCAGCAGUGGGGAAUAUUGCACAAUGGGCGGAAGCCUAAUGCAGCAACGCCGCGUGCGGGAUGACGGCCUUCGGGUUGUAAACCGCUUUCGCCUGUGACGAAGCGUGAGUGACGGUAAUGGGUAAAGAAGCACCGGCUAACUACGUG
rnacentral:rRNA from 1 species